UACGGAGGGAGCUAGCGUUGUUCGGAAUUACUGGGCGUAAAGCGCACGUAGGCGGCCCGGCAAGUCGGAUGUGAAAGCCCCCGGCUCAACCGAGGAAGUGCAUUCGAAACUGCUGGACUUGAAUAUGGAAGAGGGUCGCGGAAUUCCCGGUGUAGAGGUGAAAUUCGUAGAUAUCGGGAGGAACACCAGUGGCGAAGGCGGCGACCUGGGCCAAUAUUGACGCUGAGGUGCGAAAGCGUGGGGAGCAAACAGG
rnacentral:rRNA from 1 species